AGGGUGACAGCCCCGUACACAAAAAUGCACAUGCUGUGAGCUCGAUGAGUAGGGCGGGACACGUGGUAUCCUGUCUGAAUAUGGGGGGACCAUCCUCCAAGGCUAAAUACUCCUGACUGACCGAUAGUGAACCAGUACCGUGAGGGAAAGGCGAAAAGAACCCCGGCGAGGGGAGUGAAAAAGAACCUGAAACCGUGUACGUACAAGCAGUGGGAGCCUCUUAAUGGGGUGACUGCGUACCUUUUGUAUAAUGGGUCAGCGACUUAUAUUCUGUAGCAAGGUUAACCGAAUAGGGGAGCCGAAGGGAAACCGAGUCUUAACUGGGCGUUAAGUUGCAGGGUAUAGACCCGAAACCCGGUGAUCUAGCCAUGGGCAGGUUGAAGGUUGGGUAACACUAACUGGAGGACCGAACCGACUAAUGUUGAAAAAUUAGCGGAUGACUUGUGGCUGGGGGUGAAAGGCCAAUCAAACCGGGAGAUAGCUGGUUCUCCCCGAAAGCUAUUUAGGUAGCGCCUCGUGAAUUCAUCUCCGGGGGUAGAGCACUGUUUCGGCAAGGGGGUCAUCCCGACUUACCAACCCGAUGCAAACUGCGAAUACCGGAGAAUGUUAUCACGGGAGACACACGGCGGGUGCUAACGUCCGUCGUGAAGAGGGAAACAACCCAGACCGCCAGCUAAGGUCCCAAAGUCAUGGUUAAGUGGGAAACGAUGUGGGAAGGCCCAGACAGCCAGGAUGUUGGCUUAGAAGCAGCCAUCAUUUAAAGAAAGCGUAAUAGCUCACUGGUCGAGUCGGCCUGCGCGGAAGAUGUAACGGGGCUAAACCAUGCACCGAAGCUGCGGCAGCGACACUAUGUGUUGUUGGGUAGGGGAGCGUUCUGUAAGCCUGUGAAGGUGGCCUGUGAGGGUUGCUGGAGGUAUCAGAAGUGCGAAUGCUGACAUAAGUAACGAUAAAGCGGGUGAAAAGCCCGCUCGCCGGAAGACCAAGGGUUCCUGUCCAACGUUAAUCGGGGCAGGGUGAGUCGACCCCUAAGGCGAGGCCGAAAGGCGUAGUCGAUGGGAAACAGGUUAAUAUUCCUGUACUUGGUGUUACUGCGAAGGGGGGACGGAGAAGGCUAUGUUGGCCGGGCGACGGUUGUCCCGGUUUAAGCGUGUAGGCUGGUUUUCCAGGCAAAUCCGGAAAACCAAGGCUGAGGCGUGAUGACGAGGCACUACGGUGCUGAAGUGACAAAUGCCCUGCUUCCAGGAAAAGCCUCUAAGCAUCAGGUAACAUCAAAUCGUACCCCAAACCGACACAGGUGGUCAGGUAGAGAAUACCAAGGCGCUUGAGAGAACUCGGGUGAAGGAACUAGGCAAAAUGGUGCCGUAACUUCGGGAGAAGGCACGCUGAUAUGUAGGUGAAGCGACUUGCUCGUGGAGCUGAAAUCAGUCGAAGAUACCAGCUGGCUGCAACUGUUUAUUAAAAACACAGCACUGUGCAAACACGAAAGUGGACGUAUACGGUGUGACGCCUGCCCGGUGCCGGAAGGUUAAUUGAUGGGGUUAGCGGUAACGCGAAGCUCUUGAUCGAAGCCCCGGUAAACGGCGGCCGUAACUAUAACGGUCCUAAGGUAGCGAAAUUCCUUGUCGGGUAAGUUCCGACCUGCACGAAUGGCGUAAUGAUGGCCAGGCUGUCUCCACCCGAGACUCAGUGAAAUUGAACUCGCUGUGAAGAUGCAGUGUACCCGCGGCAAGACGGAAAGACCCCGUGAACCUUUACUAUAGCUUGACACUGAACAUUGAGCCUUGAUGUGUAGGAUAGGUGGGAGGCUUUGAAGUGUGGACGCCAGUCUGCAUGGAGCCGACCUUGAAAUACCACCCUUUAAUGUUUGAUGUUCUAACGUUGGCCCCUAAUCGGGGUUGCGGACAGUGUCUGGUGGGUAGUUUGACUGGGGCGGUCUCCUCCUAAAGAGUAACGGAGGAGCACGAAGGUUGGCUAAUCCUGGUCGGACAUCAGGAGGUUAGUGCAAUGGCAUAAGCCAGCUUGACUGCGAGCGUGACGGCGCGAGCAGGUGCGAAAGCAGGUCAUAGUGAUCCGGUGGUUCUGAAUGGAAGGGCCAUCGCUCAACGGAUAAAAGGUACUCCGGGGAUAACAGGCUGAUACCGCCCAAGAGUUCAUAUCGACGGCGGUGUUUGGCACCUCGAUGUCGGCUCAUCACAUCCUGGGGCUGAAGUAGGUCCCAAGGGUAUGGCUGUUCGCCAUUUAAAGUGGUACGCGAGCUGGGUUUAGAACGUCGUGAGACAGUUCGGUCCCUAUCUGCCGUGGGCGCUGGAGAACUGAGGGGGGCUGCUCCUAGUACGAGAGGACCGGAGUGGACGCAUCACUGGUGUUCGGGUUGUCAUGCCAAUGGCACUGCCCGGUAGCUAAAUGCGGAAGAGAUAAGUGCUGAAAGCAUCUAAGCACGAAACUUGCCCCGAGAUGAGUUCUCCCUGAGACUUAGAGUCUCCUGAAGGAACGUUGAAGACGACGACGUUGAUAGGCCGGGUGUGUAAGCGCAGCGAUGCGUUGAGCUAACCGGUACUAAUGAACCGUGAGGCUUAACCUU
rnacentral:rRNA from 1 species